AACGAACGCUGGCGGCAGGCCUAACACAUGCAAGUCGAGCGCCCAGCAAUGGGAGCGGCGGACGGGUGAGUAACGCGUGGGAAUUUUUCCUGGAGUACGGAACAACCGAGGGAAACUUCGGCUAAUACCGUAUGAUGCCGAGAGGCCAAAGAUUUAUCGCUCUGGGGUGAGCCCGCGUCAGAUUAGGUAGUUGGUGGGGUAAAGCCUACCAAGCCUGCGAUCUGUAGCUGGUCGAGAGGACGAUCAGCCACACUGGGACUGAGACACGGCCCAGACUCCUACGGGAGGCAGCAGUGGGGAAUCUUGCGCAAUGGGCGAAAGCCUGACGCAGCCAUGCCGCGUGAGUGAAGAAGGUCUCAGGAUUGUAAAGCUCUUUCGCUCGUGACGAUGAUGACGGUAACGAGAGAAGAAGCCCCGGCUAACUUCGUGCCAG
rnacentral:rRNA from 1 species